UUAAUUGAGAGUUUGAUCCUGGCUCAGGAUAAACGCUGGCGGCGUGCAUAACACAUGCAAGUCGAACGAUGAAGCUUAGAUGAUUUCUUCGGAAUGAACUU
rnacentral:rRNA from 1 species